rnacentral:rRNA from 1 species
UGGGGAAUCUUGCGCAAUGGGCGAAAGCCUGACGCAGCCAUGCCGCGUGGAUGAUGAAGGACUUAGGAUUGUAAAAUCCUUUCACCGGGGACGAUAAUGACGGUACCCGGAGAAGAAGCCCCGGCUAACUUCGUGCCAGCAGCCGCGGUAAUACGAAGGGGGCUAGCGUUGCUCGGAAUUACUGGGCGUAAAGGGCGCGUAGGCGGACAGUUAAGUUGGGGGUGAAAGCCCGGGGCUCAACCUCGGAAUUGCCUUCAAUACUGGCUGUCUUGAGUACGGGAGAGGUGAGUGGAACUCCGAGUGUAGAGGUGAAAUUCGUAGAUAUUCGGAAGAACACCAGUGGCGAAGGCGACUCACUGGCCCGUUACUGACGCUGAGGCGCGAAAGCGUGGGGAGCAAACA